GAGAGCCAUCGGUUCAACCAAAUUCCGCGUUCUGAAAUUAAAUAGUGAUGCUUUAGAACUCUAGCCCGCAAGCUGAGCGGGGGCCCUCU
rnacentral:tRNA from 1 species